rnacentral:rRNA from 1 species
AUUGAACGCUGGCGGCAUGCCUAACACAUGCAAGUCGAAUGGUAACAGGAAACAUCUUGCUGUUUCGCUGACGAGUGGCGGACGGGUGAGUAAUGUCUUGGAAACUGCCUGAUGGAGGGGGAUAACUACUGGAAACGGUAGCUAAUACCGCAUAACGUCGCAAGACCAAAGAGGGGGACCUUCGGGCCUCUUGCCUUCAGAUGUUCCCAGAUGGGAUUAGCUAGUAGGUGGGGUAACGGCUCACCUAGGCGACGAUCCCUAGCUGGUCUGAGAGGAUGACCAGCCACACUGGAACUGAGACACGGUCCAGACUCCUACGGGAGGCAGCAGUGGGGAAUAUUGCACAAUGGGCGCAAGCCUGAUGCAGCCAUGCCGCGUGUAUGAAGAAGGCCUUCGGGUUGUAAAGUACUUUCAGCGGGGAGGAAGGGAGUAAAGUUAAUACCUUUGCUCAUUGACGUUACCCGCAGAAGAAGCACCGGCUAACUCCGUG